GUUCUGACCAGUUUUGGUCGUAUCCUGUUCUUCUCAGUUAAUGGUUGUGCUCUGCCCGCUUCUUUCCUGUCUCAGAAGAGCAGAAAAUGGUAAAAACCUGCUUCUGUGAUUCCUCAGCUUCUCUGAAACCUGCUUGGCUUCCGCUGAAGCUCAGAAGAAAAUUUCUCGGUGGAACUUUUCCCAGGCCACCAUAAUGUGAGGAAGCCCGAACAGUCUGUGACAAUCAAGGGGCAAGUGGGAAGGAACUGCAGCCUCCAGCCCUCAGCCUUGGUUGAACUCCCAGCUGACAGCCAGCCAUAUGAACUUGCCAGCCGUAAGUGAGCCAUCUUGCAAACACAUCCUUCAGCCCCAGGCAAGUCAUCUCAGCUGCCAGUCCAUGGCACAAAGAUGAAUCAUCCUUGCUAAUCCCUACCUACAAUGCAGAUACACACAGAGGCAAAUUGGAAAUGCAAUAGAAAACGGCUACCAAUUUAAAAGCAGAAGUGAAGAAGAACAAACCCAAGUGAGCUCCAAGCUGGACCAGCUCCCAGCAGAAGUGAGCCCUGAAAUCGUGCAUUGUUACCUCUUCUCUCCUCUUCAAAGUGGCAGAAGAUGUCAGCACCUGGGCUUGAACUUGGUCGUUAUUUCCCAACCUUUUUCAAGCUACCUAACUCUCUGGAGUUGUGGUUUUCUCAUCUGGGAGAAUUGGGAGAUGGAAGGUUCUUCCCCGCCCAGGUCUGAAUGAGAUGUGUGCAGAAGCACGGAGCAUGGUACCUGGCAUAGAUGCUCAAUGAAUGUGAACUGGCAUGAAUAUGACCUCCACUUGCUUCUUGCCCCCUCACGGUGGCUGGACUCUGGUGCUCUGGGCUCCCUGAGACAUGGCAGUUUUUCCCAAGUGGGCACUAAAGCCAUGUCUGUCCUUGGUGCCUUGUUUCCUAGGUUUCCUGUGCCGCCUGCUCCGUGCCAGUCACAGAUCCAGACUCCAUUCUGACAGAACCUUGCUUCUGCUGGCUAUUAUGCUUAAAAAGCAGCUGAUGACCACUCAGGUGUGCGAUGAUAAUGAUUUAUGAAUGCCAUCCCUCCAGACAACGUUUGCAACAUUGCAGGUUUUGCUUUUAUUUUAUUUGGCACUAGAAAAGCAUUGAGAACAAAAGGAAACUUUCUAAUGGUGGAAUAUAGGAACUGUAGUACAUUUUUUAUGGAUGGGAAGAAGGCUUUUCAUCUUGAAACUUUUCAAAUCAUACUCCACUGGUAACUGCUGAAUCUCUCUACUCAUACUGAUCUCUUUCUGUGCUGGGUUGAAUAGUGUGCCCCCAAAUUCAUGUCUACCUAGAACCUGUGAAUGUGACCUUAUUUGGAAAGAGGGUCAUGGCAGAUAUAUUCAAGUUAAGAUGAGGUCAUAUUGGAUUAGGGCAAACCCAAAAUCCAAUAUGCCUGGGGUCUUAAUAGGAGGAGGGAAAUUUGGACACAGAGAUAUAGACAUACAGGGGAUCAGGCUAUGUGAAGACAGAGGUGAAGCUUAGAAUGAUGUGUAUAGAAGUCAAGGAGUAACAGGGAUUGCUGGCAACCAUCAGAAGAUGGAAGAGGCAAGGAAAGACUCUUCCUUACAGUCUUCAGAAGGAAUAUGGCCCUGACAACAUCUGACUUCAGAAUUCUAGCCUCCAGUAUUUUGAGAGAAUAAAUUUCUGUUGUUUUAAGGCACCCAGUCUGUGGUACCUUGUUAUAGCAGUCCCAGGAAACAGAUACACUGACUAAGCAGGAUGCCUGCUGAAUGUUCAGGAUUAGCCCAGUGGGUCCAGCAAUAGGGAGGGGUUGCAGGGAGAUUUUGGUGUCAGGUAAGUGAUGUUGGCUUAGAGUAGAGCCUUGAGUGUAGGGCAUGAAGUGUGUGCUCUUCAGCUGGAGGAAGGGUGCGUGUAGGUUGUGUAGAAGGACGAGUGAUGCUGAGUGAGUAACUGCCUGAGUUCAAGGAGGGUAGGCUUCACUUUACAAAAGGAAAGUCCUCUUAAAACAUGCCGUGUGAGGGCUCCCCUGGUGGCGCAGUGGUUAAGAAUCCGCCUGUCAAUGCAGGGGACACAGGUUCAAGCCCUGGUGCAGGAAGAUCCCACGAGCCACAGAGCAACUAAGCCUGUGCACCACAACUACUGAGCCUGUGCUCUAGAGCCCGCAAGCCACAACUACUGGGCCUGCGUGUUACAGCUACUGAAGCCCGUGCUCCUAGAACCCGUGCUCCACAACAAGAGAAGCCACCACGAUGAGAAGCCCGUGCACCACAAUGAAGAGCAGCCCCUGCUCACCGCAACUAAAGAAAGCCCUCAUCCAGCAAUGA